AUCUCAUGAGCAACUUCUGUGGCUUAGGAAAUGAGGAUAGGUGAAUGAAGAGAACAGAAAAUCAUCCCUUCGCAGAGCAUUUGUUAAUUCAUCCGUUCACAUGCCCUCCACUGUCUGUCUACCAUUUGUCCAGCUCUCUAUGAGGUUCCAGUACAGUGGUGAAGAAGCGUCACUUUGAACAAACCAUUCCUGCAUCAUGAAGCUUCUGGCUCAGUACACGAGACAGGUGCUAGUCAAGUAAUCACAGCACUGGGACUGAAGAGCCAGUACUGAAAGGCAGACUUGUAUUUGUCCUUGAAUAUCUGAAGACAAGGACUGGUUUAGUGCAGGACAGCUUUCCUGGGGAAAGGGCAGCUGUGCUGAGACCUCCAGGACUAGAGAAGGGACAGUGUGGAAAGAAUUAUGAAGCUGGAGGCCUGGUCAAAUGAGGGCUUGGGGGACACACAAGGCCUAACCCCCAGAGCCCUGCAGCUCUUUAGGGCAAUGGGAGGCCACUGAUGUGUAUUGGGGGGGGGGUCAGGAAUUGAAAAAGAUGAUCAGAAAGCAUAUUCAUUUUAAUAGCUAGCACCUGAAGAAUGAAGCCAAGAACUCCAACUGGGCCCCUGUGCAGUUAAAAACAGGAGUGAAGCACCUGAAAGCCUUCUGGUGAAAGUCAGAACUUAGGAUAUCAAAGAAUUAUCAUGAUCAGAGAUUUCUUGAGGAAAAUCGAAGCCCAGUAGGAAUUCAAAGGGAACCAGGCUGACAAAGCAGCAGCAUUAAACUCUGGCCACAGUUAUCUGCAGAAGAAAGUUCAUGAUGAAAAGAAGUCUGAGGCAAGAGGCUGGCUGGCUGCCCAGGAGGGAGAGAAUCUUUGAAAAUGCUCAGGAGAACGCAGUUUUGGCUAUUUUGAUCUCUCAUCCAUCCUUUGGACAAGGACAGAGUCUAGCUGCUUAUCUCACAAGGAAGAUUUCAAAGGUACAGCAACUUCUUUUGUCCCUUUUGAGCCAGGCCCAGAGGAAUGAAGUGGAAAAUGCUUUUCAGUGUUUUCAGAUUUACUGCUCUCCUGCAGCUGAAGCAAGGACCCUGACUGUCACUAUAAACUGACUGCACAGGAUUUUUCGUUUAUCUCAAAGUACAUUCCUGGGGGAGACCACAACUCACACAUAGGAAGAUACAUGACCUACAUUGCUCCAAUAAAUGGCCACAGCUGCC